UAGCGAAAUUCCUUGUCGGGUAAGUUCCGACCCGCACGAAAGGCGUAAUGAUUUGGGCACUGUCUCAACAGCCCGCCCGGCGAAAUUGUAGUACCGGUGAAGAUGCCGGUUACCCGCGACAAGACGGAAAGACCCCAUGGAGCUUUACUGUAGCCUAAUAUUGGGUUUCGAUGUUGCAUGCACAGGAUAGAUGGGACACUGGGAAGCACGGGCUUUGGCUUGUGUGGAGUGGCCGUUGGGAUACCAUCCUUGCGAUAUUGGAAUUCUAACCUGCGCCUUUGAAUCAAGGCGGGGGACAUUGUUAGGUGGGCAGUUUGACUGGGGCGGUCGCCUCCUAAAAAGUAACGGAGGCGUUCAAAGGUUCGCUCAGCUUGAACGGAAAUCAAGCAAGAGAGUGCAAACGCAGAAGCGAGCCUAACUGCGAGACUGACGGGUCGAGCAGUAACGAAAGUUGGAGUUAGUGAUCCGGUGGUAUGUGAGUGGAAAUGCCAUCGCUCAACGGAUAAAAGUUACCCUGGGGAUAACAGGCUGAUCUCCCCCAAGAGUCCACAUCGACGGGGAGGUUUGGCACCUCGAUGUCGGCUCAUCGCAUCCUGGGGCUGAAGUAGGUCCCAAGGGUUGGGCUGUUCGCCCAUUAAAGCGGUACGCGAGCUGGGUUCAGAACGUCGUGAGACAGUUCGGUCCCUAUCCGGCGUGGGCGUAGGAUAUUUGAGAGGAGCUGUCCUUAGUACGAGAGGACCGGGAUGGACGUACCUCUGGCGCACCAGUUGUUCUGCCAAGGGCAUAGCUGGGCAACUAUGUACGGAUCGGAUAAACGCUGAAAGCAUCUAAGCGUGAAGCCGACCCAAAGAUAAGAUAUCCCACUGAUUUGAUCAGGUAAGACCCCUUGAAGACUACAAGGUUGAUAGGCAUGACGUGUAAGUGGAGUGAUCCAUUCAGCGAGCAUGUACUAAUAGGUCGAGGGCUUGACCAC
rnacentral:rRNA from 1 species